UACGGGGGGUGCUAGCGUUAUUCGGAAUCAUUGGGCGUAAAGGGCGCGUAGGCGGUCACUAAAGUCAGAUGUGAAAGCCCUCGGCUUAACCGAGGAAGUGCAUUUGAUACUGAGUGACUUGAGUAUGGGAGAGGGAAGCGGAAUUCCUGGUGUAGCGGUGAAAUGCGUAGAUAUCAGGAGGAACACCGGUGGCGAAGGCGGCUUCCUGGACCAAUACUGACGCUGAGGCGCGAAGGCGUGGGGAGCAAACAGG
rnacentral:rRNA from 1 species